UGGGGAAUAUUGCACAAUGGGCGCAAGCCUGAUGCAGCCAUGCCGCGUGCGUGAAGAAGGCCUUCGGGUUGUAAAGCACUUUCAGCGAGGAGGAAAGGUGGUGGACUUAAUACGUUCAUCAAUUGACGUUACUCGCAGAAGAAGCACCGGCUAACUCCGUGCCAGCAGCCGCGGUAAUACGGAGGGUGCAAGCGUUAAUCGGAAUUACUGGGCGUAAAGCGCACGCAGGCGGUUUGUUAAGUCAGAUGUGAAAUCCCCCGGGCUCAACCUGGGAACUGCAUUUGAAACUGGCAAGCUAGAGUCUCGUAGAGGGGGGUAGAAUUCCAGGUGUAGCGGUGAAAUGCGUAGAGAUCUGGAGGAAUACCGGUGGCGAAGGCGGCCCCCCUGGACGAAGACUGACGCUCAGG
rnacentral:rRNA from 1 species